UACGUAGGGACCAAGCGUUGUUCGGAUUUACUGGGCGUAAAGGGCUCGUAGGCGGCAGGGCAAGUCGGAUGUGAAAACCCACGGCUCAACCGUGGAAGUGCACCCGAUACUGCUCCGCUAGAGUCUCGGAGAGGAAGGUGGAAUGCUUGGUGUAGAGGUGAAAUUCGUAGAUAUCAAGCAGAACACCGGUGGCGAAGGCGGCCUUCUGGACGAUGACUGACGCUGAGACGCGAAAGCGUGGGGAGCAAACAGG
rnacentral:rRNA from 1 species